UACAGAGGGUGCAAGCGUUGUUCGGAAUUAUUGGGCGUAAAGGGAGUGUAGGCGGUGAGUUAAGUCUUUCGUGAAAUCUACGGGCUUAGCCUGUAACGUGCGGAGGAAACUGGCUGACUUGAGUAUUGGAGAGGGCAGGGGAAUACCCAGUGUAGAGGUGAAAUUCGUAGAGAUUGGGUGGAACACCAGUGGCGAAGGCGGCUCUCUGGGACGGUACUGACGCUGAGACGCGAAAGCGUGGGGAGCGAACAGG
rnacentral:rRNA from 1 species